rnacentral:rRNA from 1 species
AUUGAACGCUGGCGGCAGGCCUAACACAUGCAAGUCGAGCGGAUGAAGGGAGCUUGCUCCUGGAUUCAGCGGCGGACGGGUGAGUAAUGCCUAGGAAUCUGCCUGGUAGUGGGGGAUAACGUCCGGAAACGGGCGCUAAUACCGCAUACGUCCUGAGGGAGAAAGUGGGGGAUCUUCGGACCUCACGCUAUCAGAUGGGCCUAGGUCGGAUUAGCUAGUUGGUGGGGUAAAGGCCUACCAAGGCGACGAUCCGUAACUGGUCUGAGAGGAUGAUCAGUCACACUGGAACUGAGACACGGUCCAGACUCCUACGGGAGGCAGCAGUGGGGAAUAUUGGACAAUGGGCGAAAGCCUGAUCCAGCCAUGCCGCGUGUGUGAAGAAGGUCUUCGGAUUGUAAAGCACUUUAAGUUGGGAGGAAGGGAAGUAAGUUAAUACCUUGCUGUUUUGACGUUACCAACAGAAUAAGCACCGGCUAACUUCGUG